rnacentral:rRNA from 1 species
UCGAGAAUUUUUCUCAAUGGGCGAAAGCCUGAAGGAGCGACGCCGCGUGGGGGAUGAAUGGCUUCGGCCCGUAAACCCCUGUCAUUCGGGAUCAAUGCUUGUUUCCCAACACGAGACAAGUUGAUAGUACCGGAAGAGGAAGGGACGGCUAACUCUGUGCCAGCAGCCGCGGUAAUACAGAGGUCCCAAGCGUUGUUCGGAUUUACUGGGCGUAAAGGGUGCGUAGGUGGUUGGGUAAGUCUGAUGUGAAAUCUCCGGGCUCAACCCGGAAAUGGCAUUGGAUACUAUUCGACUAGAGGGUUGGAGGGGGGACUGGAAUACUUGGUGUAGCAGUGAAAUGCGUAGAUAUCAAGUGGAACACCAGUGGCGAAGGCGAGUCCCUGGACAACUCCUGACACUGAGGCACGAAAGCUAGGGGAGCAAACAG